UGGAUCCAGACUUUGAUUCUGCUCAGGACGAACGCUGGCGGCGUGCCUAACACAUGCAAGUCGAACGGAGCUCCGCCCUUCGGGACGGAACUUAGUGGCGAACGGGUGAGUAACGCGUGAAGAACCUGCCUUUCAGUGGGGGACAACAGUCGGAAACGACUGCUAAUACCGCAUGAUGUUCUUUGGGGGCAUCUCUAAGGAACCAAAGCUUAAUGUGCUGAAAGAUGGCUUCGCGUCUGAUUAGCUAGUUGGCGGGGUAACGGCCCACCAAGGCGACGAUCAGUAGCCGGUCUGAGAGGAUGAACGGCCACAUUGGGACUGAGAUACGGCCCAGACUCCUAUGGGAGGCAGCAGUGGGGAAUAUUGGGCAGUGGGGGAAACCCUGACCCAGCAACGCCGCGUGAAGGAAGAAGGCCUUCGGGUUGUAAACUUCUUUUACCAGGGACGAAGGACGUGACGGUACUUGGAGAAAAAGCAACGGCUAACUACGUGCCAGCAGCCGCGGUAAUACGUAGGUUGCAAGCGUUGUCCGGAUUUACUGGGUGUAAAGGGCGUGUAGGCGGAGGCGCAAGUUGGGAGUGAAAUCUAUGGGCUCAACCCAUAAACUGCUCUCAAAACUGUGCCCCUUGAGUAUCGGAGAGGCAAGCGGAAUUCCUAGUGUAGCGGUGAAAUGCGUAGAUAUUAGGAGGAACACCAGUGGCGAAGGCGGCUUGCUGGACGACAACUGACGCUGAGGCGCGAAAGCGUGGGGAGCGAACAGGAUUAGAUACCCUGGUAGUCCACGCUGUAAACGAUGAAUACUAGGUGUGGGAGGACUGACCCCUUCCGUGCCGCAGUUAACACAAUAAGUAUUCCACCUGGGGAGUACGACCGCAAGGUUGCAACUA
rnacentral:rRNA from 1 species